GUAGGUAUAGUUUAAUCAAAACACCAGAUUGUGAAUCUGACUAUAGAGGCUAGUUACUUCUUAUUUACC
rnacentral:tRNA from 1 species